GUGUCAGCAGCCGCGGUAAUACGUAGGGGGCUAGCGUUGUCCGGAAUCAUUGGGCGUAAAGCGCGCGUAGGCGGCCCGGUAAGUCCGCUGUGAAAGUCCAGGGCUCAACCCUGGAAAGCCGGUGGAUACUGCCGGGCUAGAGUCCGGGAGAGGCGAGUGGAAUUCCUGGUGUAGCGGUGGAAUGCGCAGAUAUCAGGAGGAACACCUAAGGCGAAGGCAGCUCGCUGGAACGGUACUGACGCUGAGGCGCGAAAGCGUGGGGAGCAAACAGGAUUAGAUACCCCCGUAGUCC
rnacentral:rRNA from 1 species